rnacentral:rRNA from 1 species
AGGAAUAUUGGUCAAUGGGCGUAAGCCUGAACCAGCCAAGUAGCGUGAGGGAAGACUGCCCUAUGGGUUGUAAACCUCUUUUGUGCGGGGAUAAAGUGAGGGACGUGUCCCUUAUUGCAGGUACCGCACGAAUAAGGACCGGCUAAUUCCGUGCCAGCAGCCGCGGUAAUACGGAAGGUCCGGGCGUUAUCCGGAUUUAUUGGGUUUAAAGGGAGCGCAGGCCGUCCUUUAAGCGUGCUGUGAAAUGCCGCGGCUCAACCGUGGCACUGCAGCGCGAACUGGAGGACUUGAGUACGCACGAGGUAGGCGGAAUUCGUGGUGUAGCGGUGAAAUGCUUAGAUAUCACGAAGAACUCCGAUUGCGAAGGCAGCUUACCGGAGCGCAACUGACGCUGAGGCUCGAAAGCGCGGGUAUCGAACAGGAUUAGAUACCCUGGUAGUCCGCGCGGUAAACGAUGGAUGCCCGCCGUUGGGAUUUGGAUUUCAGCGGCCAAGCGAAAGCGUUAAGCAUCCCACCUGGGGAGUACGCCGGCAACGGUGAAACUCAAAGGAAUUGACGGGGGCCCGCACAAGCGGAGGAACAUGUGGUUUAAUUCGAUGAUACGCGAGGAACCUUACCCGGGCUUGAAUUGCAGGAGAACGAUCCAGAGAUGGUGAGGCCCUUCGGGGCUCCUGUGAAGGUGCUGCAUGGUUGUCGUCAGCUCGUGCCGUGAGGUGUCGGCUCAAGUGCCAUAACGAGCGCAACCCCUGUCCAUAGUUGCCAUCAGGUCGUGCUGGGCACUCUGUGGAGACUGCCGCCGUAAGGUGUGAGGAAGGUGGGGAUGACGUCAAAUCAGCACGGCCCUUACGUCCGGGGCUACACACGUGUUACAAUGGGGCAUACAGCGAGUUGGAUGUGCGUAAGUACGUCCGGAUCAAUAAAGUGCCUCUCAGUUCGGACUGGGGUCUGCAACCCGACUCCACGAAGCUGGAUUCGCUAGUAAUCGCGCAUCAGCCAUGGCGCGGUGAAUACGUUCCCG